rnacentral:rRNA from 1 species
AUGAAGAGGCUGGUGGUCCUGAGGAGGUGCGAGCCGAUCGUGCGGUUCAGCUGCUGCGGUGUGCGGUAUGGCGAGUGCCGCCGCAACCACGCCGCCAGCACGGGGGGCUAUGCCGUGGACGGUUGCCGGGAGUUCAUCGCCGAGGGCGAGGAGGGCACCUUCGGCGCGCUCAAGUGCUCGGCCUGCGGCUGCCACCGCAGCUUCCACCACAGGGUGCAGGUCUACGAGGUUGCAUGGGACUGCGAGUCCGAUACGUCGUCGUCGUCUUCAAGCAGCAGCUAG